UGUGACAAACUCUCCUCUCCAAGUGAGUUUGCCACGAGCUCCUGGAGGAGACUGCUUGCCAGCCUCCUGCCCACAGACAAUGGGCCCUGCAGGGAAACCUGUAAAAGACUACCAAACUUGACCGUCCGUUAGCACCGAUUUCAUAGAACUGUUUUGGGCAUAGGACAAUGUCCACGGUAGGUCAAAAUUAUGACUUCCAGGAAAUUCCUGAACCCCUGAACUGAUCUGGGUGAUUUUUGUAUAUGUUGGUCACCC